UUCCAUAUUAAGCUAGCAAAAAUAGAAUUAAUCAAUGAAGAUCAUUUUAGCAAAUCAAUCUCAACGAGACUGCAAUAUGUUUUCGUUUUUUUAAACAAUUUAUUUCCGUUUUUGGUUCUUGUGGCAAUCAAGCAAGGAGAUUUCCGAUUUCGGAUCUGAAGAUGCAAUCAAUACGGAAAUCUACAAAGGACAAAGUGGGAACUUUGGUUCGAAGCAAUAAGGUUGACAUGAAUAGGCACAAUAGCCCCAGCGUUUAUUGGGAUACCAGCACUCGGACCCUAUUAAAACAG